rnacentral:rRNA from 1 species
GACGUAGGGGGCAAGCGUUAUUCGGAAUCAUUGGGCGUAAAGAGCGUGUAGGCGGCCUGGUAAGUCCGCUGUGAAAGUCCAGGGCUCAACCCUGGAAUGCCGGUGGAAACUGUCUGGCUCGAGUCCGGAAGAGGCGAGUGGAAUUCCUGGUGUAGCGGUGAAAUGCGCAGAUAUCAGGAGGAACACCAAUGGCGAAGGCAGCUCGCUGGGACGGUACUGACGCUGAGACGCGAAAGCGUGGGGAGCAAACAGG